CACGUGUACGAUUUUUCUGUGAAAUGAGUCUAAGAGUAUAUACAUGUAUAUCAGGAUACUGACUGCAUAGUAAAAUAUUUAUGUACCAUUAGUUGCGACUCAUUUUGGUCUUUUAAGUAAGUUUCCUUCCCCUGCAUUACUUGAUCGCUUUUGUAAAAAAUAAACAGCACAACAACAACAGCACUCGACGUCAGUAUUGUACCAAAAAAUGUAAAAAUAUUCAAAAAGAAGGCUCAUAAAAUUCAAAUAUUGGACAAGAACUAUAGAAGAUGCAGAGAAAUUAUAAACAGCAGAAAUGAUAGGCAAUUUAAAAUUUGCAGAAGUCAACAAAACCUAAAUGGUGAUCAGACAUCUUGGUUUUCAUGAUCAAUAGGUCAAUACUGAAGAGGAAACUGAAAGUUGAUAUCUAUCUACAUGGUGCGCUAAUUGGAUUAAUGUGAAAUGGAAUGUGUGCUUUCCUGCAAAAAAGAAAUAGGAAAUUUCAUCAUAAUCACAUGAUAAUGGCUAUAAACAAAAUGGAGUUCUAUCAUAGAUGCAGAAAAACACAAUUGUAUAAAUGCAACAACAUAUUAUAUAUAUUCGUCGAAAGAAGGGAGAAAUGAAGAAAAAAAUACUAUUUUGUUGUUGAAAGGAACACCAGCUUUAUCCACUCAUUUACAUCGUUACCUCAUAUCAAAUAUACUGAAGAAGAUCUUUGAAGAACAAAUUGCAAAAAUGUUUUCUCUAAGAAUUGAAGGAUAUUGUUUAGUGAAUGGAAUAAUUUAUGUUAUGAACUUUUACGUAGUGAAUUGAAUAACUGUACACAGCAGCUGAAACAGAGGAAAAUUAAAAUUUGCAAGAAAAGUGUUUAUUUUAUUAUUUAAUUUGCAAAUAUGAACGCAUUCUUAAGAACUCCACAAAUGGUAUGACAUUCAAAUUGGUUGCUUAUUAAUGUAUACAAUUGAAACAAUAACAAAGAAAACAGAUUACUUUGCUACAAAAAAUAUUUUAAAAAUCAAAGUUAAAGUCAUAUAAAGUAUGUACAAUACCUUGACCUAAACAGUCAGACUCACUAUAUUGUUUUUGUAUGUCAUGAUAAUUUUGAGUCAAAAAUUUAUUAAAGUUUAAAUAUCA